rnacentral:rRNA from 1 species
UACGAAGGGGGCUAGCGUUGCUCGGAAUCACUGGGCGUAAAGCGCUCGUAGGCGGCUUCUUAAGUCAGGGGUGAAAUCCUGGAGCUCAACUCCAGAACUGCCUUUGAUACUGAGAAGCUUGAGUCCGGGAGAGGUGAGUGGAACUGCGAGUGUAGAGGUGAAAUUCGUAGAUAUUCGCAAGAACACCAGUGGCGAAGGCGGCUCACUGGCCCGGUACUGACGCUGAGGUGCGAAAGCGUGGGGAGCGAACAGG